rnacentral:rRNA from 1 species
AUUGAACGCUGGCGGCAGGCCUAACACAUGCAAGUCGAGCGGAUGAAGGGAGCUUGCUCCUGGACUCAGCGGCGGACGGGUGAGUAAUGCCUAGGAAUCUGCCUGGCAGCGGGGGAUAAGGUCCGGAAACGGGCGCAAAUCCCGCAUCCGUUCCGAGGGGGAAAGUGGGGGUCCUCCGGACCACACGCCUUCAGAUCAGCCUAGGCCGGCUUCGCUUGGUGGUGGGGUAAAGGCCUCCCAGGGCGACGACCCGUAACUGGUCGGAGAGGAUGAUCGGUCACACUAGAGCGUGGACACGGUCCAGACGCCUACGGGAGGCAGCAGUGGGGAAUGUUGGACAGUGGGCGAAAGCCUGAUCCAGCCAUGCCGCGUGUGUGAAGAAGGUCUUCGGAUUGUAAAGCACUUUAAGGUGUGAGGAAGGGCAGUAAGUUAAUACCUUGCUGUAUUGACGUUACCAGCAGAAUAAGCACCGGCUAACUUCGUG